UGCAGUCGAACGAAGUCUUCGGACUUAGUGGCAGACGGGUGAGUAACGCGUGGGAAUCUACCCAGUUCUCUGGAAUAACUGAUGGAAACGUCAGCUAAUACCGGAUACGCCCUUUUGGGGAAAGAUUUAUCGGGAUUGGAUGAGCCCGCGUAAGAUUAGCUAGUUGGUGGGGUAAUGGCCUACCAAGGCGACGAUCUUUAGCUGGUCUGAGAGGAUGAUCAGCCACACUGGGACUGAGACACGGCCCAGACUCCUACGGGAGGCAGCAGUGGGGAAUAUUGGACAAUGGGGGCAACCCUGAUCCAGCCAUGCCGCGUGAGUGAUGAAGGCCUUAGGGUUGUAAAGCUCUUUCACCGGUGAAGAUAAUGACGGUAACCGGAGAAGAAGCCCCGGCUAACUUCGUGCCAGCAGCCGCGGUAAUACGAAGGGGGCUAGCGUUGUUCGGAAUUACUGGGCGUAAAGCGCACGUAGGCGGAUAUUUAAGUCAGGGGUGAAAUCCCGGAGCUCAACUCCGGAACUGCCUUUGAUACUGGAUAUCUAGAGACCGAGAGA
rnacentral:rRNA from 1 species